GACGAACGCUGGCGGCGUGCCUAAUACAUGCAAGUAGAACGCACAGUUUAUACCGUAGCUUGCUACGCCAUAGACUGUGAGUUGCGAACGGGUGAGUAACGCGUAGGUAACCUGCCUGGUAGCGGGGGAUAACUAUUGGAAACGAUAGCUAAUACCGCAUAAUAUUAAUUAUUGCAUGAUAAUUAAUUGAAAGGUGCAAUUGCACCACUACCAGAUGGACCUGCGUUGUAUUAGCUAGUAGGUGAGGUAACGGCUCACCUAGGCGACGAUACAUAGCCGACCUGAGAGGGUGAUCGGCCACACUGGGACUGAGACACGGCCCAGACUCCUACGGGAGGCAGCAGUAGGGAAUCUUCGGCAAUGGACGAAAGUCUGACCGAGCAACGCCGCGUGAGUGAAGAAGGUUUUCGGAUCGUAAAGCUCUGUUGUAAGGGAAGAACGGGUGUGAGAGUGGAAAGUUCACACUGUGACGGUAUCUUACCAGAAAGGGACGGCUAACUACGUG
rnacentral:rRNA from 1 species